rnacentral:rRNA from 1 species
UAUGGAGGGGGAUAACGACGGGAAACUGUCGCUAAUACCGCGUAAUAUCGAAAGAUUAAAGUGUGGGACCUUCGGGCCACAUGCCAUAGGAUGAGCCCAAGUGGGAUUAGGUAGUUGGUGGGGUAAAAGCCUACCAAGCCUGCGAUCUCUAGCUGGUCUGAGAGGAUGACCAGCCACACUGGAACUGAGACACGGUCCAGACUCCUACGGGAGGCAGCAGUGGGGAAUAUUGCGCAAUGGGGGGAACCCUGACGC